rnacentral:misc_RNA from 1 species
GCCAAGUACUUUGACUACCUUUUCUACAUCGACUUUGAAGCUUCUAUGGCAGAACCUCGUGCUCAACAUGCUUUAGGACAUUUGCAGGAAAUUGCAAGAUUUCUUCGUGUUCUUGGUUGCUAUCCAAUAGUCUUUAAUUAGAUGUCUGUCUUGGCAUUUAUAAAAACCUGAUCCAAGUGAAUCAGGAAUUGGAAAAGAAAUUACUGCAAUGUGGUCAAGGAAUGUUGAUGGGAUGACAAUGGCAGCGGCAACUUUGCCUGCUCCCUUCAACACGAUCUUUUACUCAACAUUUCAGAUUUCUUUUUCACAAUUCUUUUCAUUCCUUUAAUAGGUAUAUUAGAACAUUAUGUUUCUGUAGGUGUAACAAUUUGAGGCAAGUUUAUACUGACAUAGAUUGUGGGGGC